rnacentral:rRNA from 1 species
AUUGAACGCUGGCGGAAUGCUUUACACAUGCAAGUCGAACGGCAGCACGGGGGCAACCCUGUUGGCGAGUGGCGAACGGGUGAGUAAUACAUCGGAACGUGCCCAGUCGUGGGGGAUAACGUAGCGAAAGUUACGCUAAUACCGCAUACGAUCUACGGAUGAAAGCGGGGGACCGUAAGGCCUCGCGCGAUUGGAGCGGCCGAUGUCAGGAUAGGUUGUUGGUGGGGUAAAGGCUCACCAAGCCGACGAUCUGUAGCUGGUCGGAGAGGACGACCAGCCACACUGGGACUGAGACACGGCCCAGACUCCUACGGGAGGCAGCAGUGGGGAAUUUUGGACAAUGGGCGCAAGCCUGAUCCAGCCAUUCCGCGUGCAGGACGAAGGCCUUCGGGUUGUAAACUGCUUUUGUACGGAACGAAAAGGCUCUGGUUACUACCUGGGGCUCAUGACGGUACCGUAAGAAUAAGCACCGGCUAACUACGUGCCAGCAGCCGCAGUAA